GAAGGGCCGCUAUUCUAUGUUCUCACAAUCACAUUUGCUUGCGCGUAUUAUUGGAGGACUUCGCCAAUCGCAAUUGCAGCAAUAUGCAACCUCUGCGCCGGAGAUGGUGCACUAAUCUAACUCCCCAUUAUUUCUUGCUUGUUAUACUGGCAUAGGUUCAAUGACUGGUAACUGCAAAAGUAAAGGGACAUACUAAGGACUUCUUCAGUGUCAUGGACCUAAAUGUUGAGAAAUAAUAUUACAGUGCUUAAUGCCACAAAUGAUAAUGGGGUGAAGUUAUUUCCUUAAUUUAAUAGAAUAAAUGAUGUUAUCUUCAGUCAAGGCUUAGAAUGAUACAUAGAUAUCAAACCGCGUGACGAGAGAUGUGGUCAUCAGUUCAAAGGAAUCACAUAAUUUUCCCAAAUAUCCGAAAACUAAAGAGGGCGGGCUUAAGCCUAGACACCUGGUUUUGCCUGAUUUCAGGUUUUGCGGACAUCAUCGGAAGGCGGCUUGGCCAACAUAAAAUUCCCUACAACCGUAACAAAUCCUUAGCUGGUAGCAUUGCAAUGGGCUGUGCCGGGUUUUUAGCAUCUCUCGGGUAAUUCUCAGUCAUGUGUUUGAGGAUUCUGUAUAAAUCUGAUUGAGUGGUGGCCUUAUUGGUUACAAUUUGCUUAUGUUUACAAGGUUUAUGUCCUAUUUUUCUUCAUUUGGUUAUAUCCGAGGAAGUUGGGAGAUGGCUUCGGGUUUCUUGGUGGUCUCUCUUGCUUCUGCUCUGGUGGAAUCACAUCCUCUGAGCUCUCGGCUCGACGACAAUCUCACAGUUCCCUUAACUUGUGCAUUGGUGGGGAGCCUUGUUUUCUAGGUGCUUAACAUUCAUUAUGACCGUUUCUCUCCAAGGGAAAGGAAAGCACAAUCGUCGGUGUAGAGAUAUUAUAAUUUUAUGUUAGUAUUUGGUGUGGAUUUUGAUAUGAAUGCAAGUGGAUGUGUGUUUGUGGGACAACACAGCAAAGGGUGGAAGAAAACAAUAGUUAUUUUAAUGAAAAAAAAAGGAUUACAAGGCUGAUAGUGAUUGGUUUAGUUUUGAUAGUUGUUUUCUUUUCUGUAUUUAUGACCAUACAACCAGGCCUAUUUCUAGGCUCCAAUAACCGACUCAUACAGCAAAUCACCUCUGCAUUUGUCUGAGAUUUUCUUCUUAUUUUUAACCUUGACCACAAACUUCAACUACCACUAAGACUAGAGACUUGUACAGUCUAGGCUUUUCCAGAACAGUAGAUUAAAACUUUGACACUCCUUUUCAAUCCAUUUUUGUGAUACUCCGAUCAUACUUCAAAAUAUCUCAAACUUGAUUUGGGAUAGUGCUUUAGUAAAUAUGUCCUCGACUUCUACAGAGUUUUCCAGUGCUUUAUCUGUCCAAUACUUUCCACUUCUUAUAUUAAGUGAUGUUUUAUGGCAAAAUUUUCUGUUUUUUCGUGAAAAACGAGAUAAGACAUAGCGAUAGCGGACUUGUUAUCGCAAAAUAUUGAAGUAGGUUUUGUCUGUACCGCUUCAAUGUCCUUUAAUAUUCUACAAAGUCAUAAUGCCUAACUGGUGAUAGUAGCAGCUAUGAUGUGCUCAGCUUCUGUGGAAAAUUUUUCCACUAAAUCCUGCUUUUUGGAUGCCCAUCAGAUUAUUUUAAUAGCUAGUGUAAAUGCCAAGCUAGUAGUACUCCUACCGUUGAGUCUGCCAGUAACUGUUGUGUAACUAAGUAGCUCUAUAGUUGCAUUUGACCAAUAUCAAAUGCCAUAAUAUGUUGUUCUUGGUAGAUGUAUUGAGAAGAUUGCAUGUCAACUUUGGCCGAACACUUCAAAGUUUUCAAUAUAUUACCACCAUAGACCGAGGUGAAGGAGGUGUUUAUGUUCGGCGUUCCUUAUUAUAAUGUAAUGGACCACAUUAUGCCUGCCAUGGUUUGCACUAGACUUAACAUUUCACAAACCGUGAGAGCUAUUAACUAUUACAUUAAGCAUCCAAGUAGGACUAUUAGGAGAUUGUGAAAUGAAUCCUUAGAGAUAAUAGACAUUGGUAAUGUGUACUAAUGGACAAAUAUGAUAGUAAGACCACUGGUUAUGUGGAUUUAGAUCAUGACAGAACUUGGAUGAGCAUUUAGGGUAUGUGUUUCGUUGACAUGGGAUGUAAUGAGUUGGAAGGUGCCUCUGAAAAAAGACGAUGUCACCUUAUCUUUGAAUGAGGUAGAUUACAUUACACAAACCUUUAUAGCGAAUGAGGCAAUAUGGUUGACAAGUUUGCUCUUUGACUUUGGGUUGGAGCAAAAUGUGUUAUUAUACACUAUAAUAACCAAUAUGCGGUAGAUCUAUCUUUAAUCCUAUUUAUCAUGAGACUAAAUAUAUUGACAUCAAGUAUCAUUUCAUCCGGACCGUUAUGGCAAGGGGUAAGGUUGUUGUGAGGAAGAUCUUGAUAGUAGAGAACCCAUCAAUUAUAAUGACGAAACCUAUUCCUUUGACAAAGCUCAAGCUAUGCUAGAGCUCUUGCACUUAGGAAGUAUGAAUGCCCAUCAUAAGCAUUGGAUGUGACAUCCCGAUUUUCCAAUUCUGGUUUCAAUUAAAUAAGUCGGGCAUUUCAUCUUCGCGUCUAUAGCUUUUUUCUCUGACUUGGCCACUCACGAGAUAACUAGUCUAUCAGGUGAAGCCGUUAAGGAAUCUAAACGCAAUAAACUUGAGAAUUCGACCAUGAAUCGGCUACUCGACCGUAUUAAUCUGCAAGGAUCAUUACGACACUGUCAGAAUCAAACAGAGAUCAGUAAUAGGUCGAUUCGACUGAGAUAUGUGAUUAGAGUGUGGGUGAUUCCACCUGAUCGCAAUAUCCUCGUCGACCGGCACUAGACCGAUUCUUCUGUCGUUUUAGGUACCCUGUGUCUGUAAUCGAAAUCUCGAGAUUUCUACGACAAUCGAGAGUCGCUAAGGUGUCGAAGAUGCACUUUGUGGCUUGAGAAUAAUCAACCACAGGUCAAUUGCACAGAAAAUUCCUAAAAGCUACCCGGUAGAUUAGGACGUGCUAAAGUCGUGCCAGAUUGAAUUUAACCGUGAAAUUGAACCCGAUUACAGAAAUUGGAAGUUCUGUCAAGUCACAAUUCAUUUUAGGAAUGUCGACUCAUCUCCAGAAGAUUUUUCUACAAACCGAGAUUUUUUGUAAAAAAAGCAAAGUAAGGCUGUUUAUGUUCGGGAUUGUCAGAGGGCCAUUUUUAAUCGAAUCUUCGGGAUGCAAGUUGGAUCAUUUGAUGGGGAAAUGUCAUGAGAAGGCCGAUGACACAUGGGUUAAUUUAAUUGAGCUUCAAUUGAAUGGAAUUGAUUGAGGAUUGAUUAAAUUAAGUGUACAAGAAUUGGACCCCGGUGGAAAAUGAAAUUGCAACCAUUGGAAGAGGUUGUGGAGGAUUGGGUGAGUGGAUUGUGACAUCAUCCAUGAGGUCAUGGUGGGGCCAAAGAGAGAGAGAAAGAGAAAGAGAAAAAGAGAGAGAGAGAGAACCGGUCUUCUUCUUCCUCCCCUUCUCUCUUCCGUCGCUUCUCUCCUUCUCUCCCUGCUGUGCGAGACCUCAGCAGACCAGAAGAACCGCCGAGCAGCCCCAUCGUCGCACGCCUCACACCAGAACGCCACCGCAAGCCACCGGAGACCGUCGCUCGUCCAACCGCACGCAGCUCCGCCCCUCUCUCCUUCCUGCUGCCAUCGACUUCCUCAUCUCCUUCUUGGUGCUGCUCGAUGUCCAGCAGAUCUGGGAAGACGCCGGAGCAGCCAGCAGUCCAGUCGAACCGCUGUCGCGCACCGCUUGCCCGCCGUCCGUCCACUCGCGAGCUCCCGCGCUCGCCGUCCAGCUCGCGUGCUGUUCGCGCGUCCGAGCUGUUCACGCCAGUCGCCCUGGCCUCUUCGCCAUUUCCCGAGCUUCCCUGAGUGUUGUUGAAGUCGCCUGAGUAGUUGCUACCGUCGUCCAGCAGCCGGAACCACCGCCUGGACCGCCGAAGCCCCGCUUUGCCCGUUUCCAACAAGCCGAGUCGCUGGUUCUUCUUCUCUGUUCCAGCGGCCAUUUCAGAUCUGGUGGAGCUCAGCCGGAGCCGUCCAACCCACCUCCGGCCACCGUGAAACCCCGCCUAGGUCCGGUUUGGUCUCCCCCGUCCAUCUAGGCCCUUGUGCGCCUCAAUCGGUGCCGAAUUCGCCCUCAACCAACAAUGGACAGAAGCUGGAAAAAUGGGUAUGGCAGCGGCUAUUUGGCCCGUUUUGGCCGGCUUCCCGACCCCGGAAGCUAGGCCCGCCUUGGAGACUAUUGACCCUCGCGUCGUCCUCGUCGUUUUGAGCCGUUCGGCUCGUUAAUCGAGUGAGUUUAUCCUCUAAUUCUUGCUUAGUGAGUUAAUGAUGCUUAAGGGGUGUUUAGAUUAGUCUAAUUAGGUUUAUGUGAUUAAAUUAGAUUAUUUUAAUGUAAAUUAGAUUAGUUGUAUGAUUAGUUUAAUGGAUGUUUAAUUAGGGCUAAUUGUAUGAUUAAAUUAGUGUAAUCUUGUUUAUGCCCUAAUUAAUUAUUUUUAAUUAUUUAUUUAUUUCGAAUUUUUAAAUAUUAUUUUAUUAAAUUAUAUUAUUAUAAUAUAAUAUUUAAUUAUUUAAUUUUCGGAAUUAAAUUUAAUUAUUUAAUAAUUUCGAAAAUUAUGCCGGGAUGGCCAGUCGUUAGAAUUUCGCGCUGAUCGCAGCAGUGUGGUCAGUUUGUGUUAAUUGUAUGUUUAAAUUGAGAAAUUGAGUGAUUGAUGAUUAUGGUUAAUAAUUCCAAAAGUGUGGAAUUGUGCGAAAUUGAUGAAGUUGUGGUAUUUAACUUGAAAAUACCCGGUGUUGGCUUUUAGCACCGUAAUUGCUUUGUAUGACUAGUUUGAAUCGAUUGGAUUGAUUGAUUGAUUGAAUUGAGGUAUGAGUUGGUUUAUUAUUGAAUUAUCAGCUUUGGCGAGCAAUUGGUUUAUAUAUGUAUAAGCUUGUGUGAGCAUCAUUGUCAGCUUGUGUGAGCACUGUAUGUCACCUUGUGAGAGCAAUGAUCAUUUAUCAGCUUAUGAGAGCAAUGAUCGUUUAUCAGCAUGUGAGAGCAACGAUCCAUAUUUCAGCUUGUGCGAGCUAUCAUCUAUGUAUAUAUCAGCUUGUGAGAGCAUUGCAUCCAUUUCAGCUUGUGCGAGCCGUAAUUGUAUUGAUGGAUGAAUAGAUGGUAUGGUUUAAUAGAUGAUAUGAAUUGAUAGAUGUGUGGAUCAUAUAAUAUCAAUUGGAUUGACUGAAUUGAUAGAUCGAUGGGUAUGUCGGUAGUUUCAGCUUGUGCGAGCAUUGUUUGAAUAUGAAUUGUACUGACGUGCAGGAAAGGGACUGAGGCGAGGUAAGUCCUUUAUUCUAUUUGUGUGGCUAGAGCACCCUGAGGCGUAUUUUCUCCCUAAUUGAGUUUUAGAGGGUAGGACUCGCUGAGACGUAGUCUCAUCCCGGUUGUGGGAUAAUAUUUCAGGUCCCUAGAUGACGGUCGUGGAGGACCGAAAGUCCUGGAGUUCGGAAGGUGGAGGCUGAAGAAUCGGUGAACGUGUCUGACAAGUUGGUCAUAGGACAGUUCCCUAGUUGUUGAGCUUGUCUAUUUUGUAGACAAUCCAGUGUUGUACAUAAACCUAUGCGUUUAUAAGAAAGCUUGUUUGGUUGUGAUUGAUUGCCUGCUUUUCUAUCCCAAGUUAGAUGUUGUCAAGGGAUUUGUUUCGCUUCCGCAUGCAUAAUAAAAAUGAAUGGGUCGACAACGUGUCCUGGGAAGUCGCAUUUGUAUCGACCAGAGUGGGAUGUUCGCGCGCUCAGAGGAUCGGGGCGUGACAUCCCUGUUUAAGUGGUAUCAGAGUGGGUUUAUGAAUGGAGUGAUAAGGUGCGAUUGUUUAUGGGAUAGUUAGUAGGAAUGACUUUUAUUUCAUGCUGGUGCAUGUGGCUGAUAGUUGUUUGGUAAAUUGUUUGGUGUGGAUCACUCAAAUUCUAAUCUGGGAUUAGAAUUGGGAAACAGGUUUCUGUAAAGAUCCUGUAGAUGAGUGGUCAGGAGCAGAGGACUCCUAGAGAGAACCUUUAGACCAAUUACUCGCGGUGGUAGGCCGACAGGGAUCGGUACCCGAGGUGGUCGUGGUGGAGCACUGGCUUAGACCAGCGCGAGUGUAAGAGUACCGCUGCAGGUCGGUACUAGUGUAGCAGCACCGAGCGAUCCUAGAUUCAAUGGGAUCGUUCAGGCGCUAGUGAUCCUUGGAAGCUUGUUGAGUCAGUAAGCUCAGGACCGAGCCACCGCUGUUGCUGCUGUAUUUACCGCCACCAGUUUUGUCACCGCUGUUGUUGCUGCGCCUGUUGAGGCCCAAGCUAAAGUUGUGAUCUGGGAGCAAGCUGUUGCAUCCGAGUCGAGGUUCAGAUUCAGUAGAGAUGGAAAUCAGUUGAGGAAGGAGUCUAUGAUCGUAGACAAGUAUUCCAUUUCUGUCCAAAUGGAAAUGUGGGAUGGUUAGGUCAGUAAUGAAUCAGAAUGGAGUAUGUCGUGCUGACGGAAGCCGACAUGGAUUAGCCCCGUGUCCUGGUAAGAUGGGUGCUUGUUUUGUGUGUAACCAACAGGGUUACCUGGCCAGAAAUUGUCUUAGAAAGCCGAUGGGAUUGAUUGAAAGGAAUGCGCCAUAGAAUGCAUCGUGGGGUUUGUAGAGCAGGCCUUCAGUACAAGAAAGAGAGCAUGCUGUUACCUAACAGGAGAUAGAGGACUCACUGAUUAUGUGUCAAGUUUGAGAAAAGAAGUGUGGGUCAGCCUGGUGACCAAGUGCAGUGGGAGCAUGCUUUGAAUGUGGCAAGCAUGGCCAUUGGGCUAGGAACUGUCCGUGUAAGUCCAAGAGGACUCGAGCAUCGCUACCGUCGACAUGACGCCACUAGGAUGGCGAAAGGAAUAGGAAUGGAUUGACCAUGCAUCGAUCAAGGGAAGAAUGUUUUUGAGAUGUUUUUAUCAGAGUAGCGCAACUGGAUUUUGUGUGAAAGUUGUGAAGUUUCCGUUGUUGUAAUAAAGUAAAAUGAAGAUGAAUCUCUGACUAUAGUUGUAAUUGAAGGGUUCGUUUAUAUAUGACCUGGGAGUCAUUUAUAAAAAGGAUUUGGCUCGAGGAGCUUUCUGCUGUUAUGAAUCGUGGCAGUGAUAUAAUCCAAUUUGUUCAAUUAGCGUACGAAAGUCUUGAGUUACUGAAAGUCAGAAAGGACCUUCGAUCCUUGUUGUUCGUCACUGAAGACGACCUGGUUUAUGGAUGUAGGUUUCCUAAUCUAUAUGGCAACUAUAGUGGAUGCGACAAUUGAGGGACCAAGUAAGGAGAACUUAGUCGUGGUACAGAAGUUUUCUGAGGUGUUUCCUGAAGAAUUGCCAGGUUUGCUGUUAGAAAGAGAAAUAGAGUUCGUGAUUGAGUUAGCAUCCGAAUUAGAGCUAGUCUCUAAGGCUCCUUACCGAAUGGCUUUAUCUGAGUUGAAAGAACUGAAUGUGGAGAUGCAUGAAUUGUUAGAUAAGGGAUUUUUACUUCCCAGUGCAUCACCUUGGGAAGCAUCAGUCUUGUUUGUGAAGAAGAAGGAUGGUUUGUUGCGUUUGUGUAUCGAUAUUCUCCAAGAUCGACUUGAGGACAUGGAAUCAUCAAUUGAGGAUUUGAAAGGAAGACAUACCGAAUUUAGUGUCUCGUACUUGAUAUGACAAUUGUGAGUUCACUGCAUUAUCGUUUGGUUUGACGAACACUCUAGCUGUUUGUAUGGGUCUGAUGAACAGAGUGUUCAAAGGAUACUUGGAUUAGUUAUGAUCGUGUUCAUUGAAGUUAUCCUGGUGUGUUCAAAGAGUGCUGAGGAGCACGAGAGACAUUUGAGGAUGAUACUUCAGACCUUGAGGACUCUUGAAUUUUAUGAUAAGUUUAGUAGAUGCGAGUUUUGGACGACUUGUGUUGUGUUCCUAAGUCACGUGAUUUCAGGAGAAAAGAAUCUCCGUGGAUCCCGUCCAAGAUUGAAGCAGUGAACAGUUGGUCGAGAUUGAUUGCAGUGACAGAGAUCAGAAGUUUUCCGGGUUUAGCAAAGUAUUACAGAAGGUUUGUGGAAAGGUUUUCAGUAUUAGCAUCGCCGUUGACUCGACUACUAAAGAAAGAAAAGAAGUUCGUGUGGACAGACAAGUGCAAGCGUAGUUUUCAAGAGCUUAAGAAGAGGCUGACUACCGCACUUGUGCUGACCAUUCCAUCUGGUCCUAGAGGUUACGAGAUCUACAAUGGUGCGUCGUUUAGAGGAUUGGGUUGCGUGCUAAUGCAGCAUGGCAAGGUUGUUGCAUACUCGUCCCGCUAGUUGAGACCUCAUGAGUUAAAUUAUCCGACGCAUGACUUAGAACUCGCAGUAAUAAUUUUCGCUCUUAAGAUUAGAGAUUUUGUUAGUGUGAAGAAAGACGCUAGACUUUGCUGACCGUUAAAGUCUCAAAGUAUUAAUUCUCUCAGAAGAAAUUGAAUAUGAGGUAGCGCUAUGAACCAUAUCGUUUGAAGUACUAUGAUGGUGGUAUCUGGUAUUACCUUGGAAGGAUGAAAGAGGUCACUGAUGCAUUGAGUCGAAAGUCUUCAUUUGUGCAUAUUUUGGUUAAAGAAUGGACCUUACAUGAGAAAGUGGAGAUUCAGUUUUCAAAUCUGAAGUAGGCCACCUUUUAAAUCUUAUGGCCAUCAGAAUUGAGCUAGAGGUAUAUAUCAGAAUCAGAAUGCUUCAGCUGUCAGAUACAGAGUUUCGGAAGGUCGUGCAAGCAGAUGCAGCAGAGAGAAGAUUGAUUUUCAGAUUUUUAAAGGCGGAACAUUGCGGUUCCGAGGACGAUUGCGUGUACCUAACGAUGCAGCGCUUAAAGAGGAGUUGGUCGAAAGCUCAUUGUACCAGUACAUCAUUCAUCUUGUUAGUAUGAAGAUAUAUCAUAAUUUGCGUGAACAUUAUUGAUGGUCUGAUAUGAGACGGACAUCGCCAAGCAUGUCGCCAAACGUUUGACGUGUUAGCAAGUGAUGACUCAGCAUUGUAAUCUGAGAGGAUUCUUGUACCUCUCAAAGUCCCUAAUGCGGAAAUGGGAUCGUGUCACAAUGGAUCUUGUGACAGGCUUAUCAAAGAAUCAAAUGAGUAAUGAUUUCGAUUGGAAUAGUGGUGAAUAAAUAGAUGAAGUCGGUUCACUUCAUCGCAAUAGAAAAUGACCUUGUUUUGGACAAGUACGUUGAGUUGUACGUACGUCAGAGAGUUCGUCUAUUUGGAGUGUCGGUGACGACUAUUUUAGACCGAGACCCGAGGUUCGUGGCUACCUUCUAGAAAAGUUUGCAGAGUGCUUUGAGAACGAAGUUACAGUAUAGUAAUGUUUAUCAUCUUCAGACCAAUGGCCAGUCUGAGAUGGCAUUUCAGAUCUAUCGAUGAGUCAGUGUGUAAAUAAUUUCAUUUUGGGUAGUAAUUGACAGAUUGAUGAAAUCAGCCCACCUUGUGACUGUGCGGAAGGAUCUUGAUUGGAUUAGGCAUGCAGAGGUGUUUGUGCAUCAGAUAAUUCGUUUGCAUAGAGUGUCAGUGUUAGAGUUAUAUCAAAUCUUGACCAGAGGUUCCCAGUUUCAGUAAAUCAGUCAGAUAGUUCAUAUUUAGUCAGUGCAAAGCAGAGUGUACAAAACUUCAGUUGUUGAGUUGAGAUCAGAGAAUGAAAGGUUAUAGCUCAGAGUCAGUUCAGCAAUAAGUGAAAGCAGUUGCAAAUAUCAGUGACAGAUUAAGGACUGCUCAAAACCGUCGGGAAAUUUAUGCGGUUAAGCGUCAGAAACCUUCGAAUUUUCAGGUUGAGAAUCCUGUUCAUUCUUGAAUGUCGCCUAGGAUAGGGACAUCUUGAAUUGUUAAGAAAGAGAGCCGGAACUGUUUAAGCGGCGGAAUAUUUCGAGUUUGAGAUCAAAGGAGAAUUUUGGCUUUAAAUGGAAAAAGAAAGCGGUUUGGGACACCAUCGGCGCCUCUAGCCGAGUGGUAUCCGGGAUGAAGCCACAGGUCCGAAGUCGGGAGUUCGAAUCCCCGACACGGCAGUUAGCCGCUUUGUGGAAAAAUAAAGAGAAAAAAAAAACCAAAAUUUUUGCAGUUUUCAAUUUUUGUAAAGAUGGACAAGUGCUUAGCCUUUUUGGGACUCAAGAAUUGGUCUGGUUAAUUUGGAAACGUUUUGUCAGCACCGAGGAUCUUGGAUAUCAAUGUGAAGCAGAAUAAAGGAGCAGAAUUGAUGAGACGACAAUACCCCACCAUUUUGAAGAAGAAUUUUAAUGGUUUAAAUUUCGAGGACGAAAUUUUUAUAAGAGGGGAAGAGUUGUGACAUCCCGAUUUUUCCAAUUCUGGUUUCAAUUAAAUAAGUCGGGCAUUUCAUCUUCGCGUCUAUAGCUUUCUUCUCUGAGUUGGCCACUCACGAGAUAACUAGUCUAUCAGGUGAAGCCGUUAAGAAAUCUAAACGCAAUAGACUUGAGAAUUCGACCAUGAAUCGGCUACUCGACCGUAUUAAUCUGCAAGGAUCAUUACGACACUGUCAGAAUCAAACAGAGAUCAGUAAUAGGUCGAUUCGACUGAGAUAUGUGAUUAGAGUGUGGGUGAUUCCACCUGAUCGCAAUAUCCUCGUCGACCGGCACUAGACCGAUUCUUCUGUCGUUUUGGGUACCCUGUGUCUGUAAUCGAAACCUCGAGAUUUCUACGACAAUCGACAGUCGCUAAGGUGUCGAAGAUGCACUUUGUGGCUUGAGAAUAAUCAACCACAGGUCAAUUGCACAGAAAAUUCCUAAAAGCUACCCGGUAGAUUAGGACGUGCUAAAGUCGUGCCAGAUUGAAUUUAACCGUGAAAUUGAACCCGAUUACAGAAAUUGGAAGUUCUGUCAAGUCACAAUUCAUUUUAGGAAUGUCGACUCAUCUCCAGAAGAUUUUUCUACAAACCGAGAUUUUUUGCAGAAAAAGCAAAGUAAGGCCGUUUAUGUUCGGGAUUGUCAGAGGGCCAUUUUUAAUCGAAUCUUCGGGAUGCAAGUUGGAUCAUUUGAUGGGGAAAUGUCAUGAGAAGGCCGAUGACACAUGGGUUAAUUUAAUUGAGCUUCAAUUGAAUGGAAUUGAUUGAGGAUUGAUUAAAUUAAGUGUACAAGAAUUGGACCCCGGCGGAAAAUGAAAUUGCAACCAUUGGAAGAGGUUAUGGAGGAUUAGGUGAGUGGAUUGUGACAUCAUCCAUGAGGUCAUGGUGGGGCCAAAGAGAGAGAAAGAGAAAGAGAAAAAGAGAGAGAGAGAGAACCGGUCUUCUUCUUCCUCCCCUUCUCUCUUCCGUUGCUUCUCUCCUUCUCUCCCUGUUGUGCGAGACCUCAGCAGACCAGAAGAACCGCCGAGCAGCCCCAUCGUCGCACGCCUCACGCCAGAACGCCACCGCAAGCCACCGGAGAUCGUCGCUCGUCCAACCGCACGCAGCUCCGCCCCUCUCUCCCUCAUGCUGCCGUCGACUUCCUCAUCUCCUUCUUGGUGCUGCUCGACGCCCAGUAGAUCUAGGAAGACGCCGGAGCAGCCAGCAGUCCAGUCGAACCGCCGUCACGCACCGCUUGCCCGCCGUCCGUCCACCCGCGAGCUCCCGCGCCCGCCGUCCAGCUCGCGGGCUGUUCGCGCGUCCGAGCCGUUCACGCCAGUCGCCCUGGCCUCUUCGCCAUUUCCCGAGCUUCCCUGAGUGUUGUUGAAGUCGCCUGAGUAGUUGCUGCCGUCGUCCAGCAGCCGGAACCACCGCCUGGACCACCGAAGCCCCGCUUUGCUCGUUUCCAGCAAGCCGAGUCGCUAGUUCUUCUUCUCUGUUCCAGCAGCCAUUUCAGAUCUGGUGGAGCUCAGCCGGAGCCGUCCAGCCCACCUCCGGCCACCGUGAAACCCCGCCUAGGUCCGGUUUGGUCUCCCCCGUCCAUCUAGGCCCUUGUGCGCCUCAAUCGGUGCCGAAUUCGCCCUCAACCAACAAUGGACAGAAGCUGGAAAAAUGGGUAUGGCAGCGGCUAUUUGGCCCGUUUUGGCCGGCUUCCCGACCCCGGAAGCUAGGCCCGCCUUGGAGACUAUUGACCCUCGCGUCGUCCUCGUCGUUUUGAGCCGUUCAGCUCGUUAAUCGGGUGAGUUUAUCCUCUAAUUCUUGCUUAGUGAGUUAAUGAUGCUGAAGGGGUGUUUAGAUUAGUCUAAUUAGGUUUAUGUGAUUAAAUUAGAUUAUUUUAAUGUAAAUUAGAUUAGUUGUAUGAUUAGUUUAAUGGAUGUUUAAUUAUGGCUAAUUGUAUGAUUAAAUUAGUGUAAUCUUGUUUAUGCCCUAAUUAAUUAUUUUUAAUUAUUUAUUUAUUUCGAAUUUUUAAAUAUUAUUUUAUUAAAUUAUAUUAUUAUAAUAUAAUAUUUAAUUAUUUAAUUUUCGGAAUUAAAUUUAAUUAUUUAAUAAUUUCGAAAAUUAUGCCGGGAUGUCCGGUCGUUAGAAUUUCGCGCUGAUCGCAGCAGUGCGGUCAGUUUGUGUUAAUUGUAUGUUUAAAUUGAGAAAUUGAGUGAUUGAUGAUUAUGGUUAAUAAUUCCAAAAGUGUGGAAUUGUGCGAAAUUGAUGAAGUUGUGGUAUUUAACUUGAAAAUACCCGGUGUUGGCUUUUAGCACCGUAAUUGCUUUGUAUGACUAGUUUGAAUCGAUUGGAUUGAUUGAUUGAUUGAAUUGAGGUAUGAGUUGGUUUAUUAUUGAAUUAUCAGCUUUGGCGAGCAAUUGGUUUAUAUAUGUAUAAGCUUGUGUGAGCAUCAUUGUCAACUUGUGUGAGCACUGUAUGUCACCUUGUGAGAGCAAUGAUCAUUUAUCAGCUUAUGAGAGCAAUGAUCGUUUAUCAGCUUGUGAGAGCAACGAUCCAUAUUUCAGCUUGUGCGAGCUAUCAUCUAUGUAUAUAUCAGCUUGUGCGAGCUACCAUCUAUAUCAGCUUGUGAGAGCAUUGCAUCCAUUUCAGCUUGUGCGAGCCGUAAUUGUAUUGAUGGAUGAAUAGAUGGUAUGGUUUAAUAGAUGAUAUGAAUUGAUAGAUGUGUGGAUCAUGUAAUAUCAAUUGGAUUGACUGAAUUGAUAGACCGAUGGGUAUGUCGGUAGUUUCAGCUUGUGCGAGCAUUGUUUGAAUAUGAAUUGUACUGACGUGCAGGAAAGGGACUGAGGCGAGGUAAGUCCUCUAUUCUAUUUGUGUGGCUAGAGCACCCUGAGGCGUAUUUUCUCCCUAAUUGAGUUUUAGAGAGUAGGACUCGCUGAGACAUAGUCUCAUCCCGGUUGUGGGAUAAUAUUUCAGGUCCCUAGAUGACGGUCGUGGAGGACCGGAAGUCCUGGAGUUCGGAAGGUGGAGGCUGAAGAAUCGGUGAACGUGUCUGACAAGUUGGUCAUAGGACAGUUUUCUAGUUGUUGAGCCUGUCUAUUUUGUAGACAAUCCAGUGUUGUAUAUAAACCUAUGCGUUUAUAAGAAAGCUUGUUUGGUUGUGAUUGAUUGUCUGCUUUUCUAUCGCAAGUUAGAUGUUGUUAGGGAAUUUGUUUCGCUUCCGCAUGCAUAAUAAAAAUGAAUGGGUCGGGGACGUGUCCUGGGAAGUCGCAUUUGUAUUGACCGGAGUGGGAUGUUCGCACGCUCAGAGGAUCGGGACGUGACAUUGGAAGAGCCGGCAUAAAUGACAAGCACUAUCCCUUAACUGCGGAAGUUGCGCCUACAUGGAGAAUCAUUUAGCCUAUGGCUCUAAUUCUACCUAAUUCGGAGUUGUAUCAAAUCCCAAAGAUCAAGAUAAAGUUGGAGGUAAUGGAAUGAUCCACCUUCUCGUUUUGUCGAGUUUCUCUCUACCAGCUGGGUAGUGUUUUUCUUCCUUUAAACCCUUCCUUCCUCAAUUUCGACCCCUCUGUUGUAGCCAUGAAAGUCUCCUCUCUUCCUCAUCUACUUCGUCUCUUGAAUGUACUGCUCAAUUCAAAGUACCCACAUUCGGCCUCUUAACCCAGCUUUCUCCUCAGCUUUUCGUUUGUCCAAUUUUCUUUCCUUCCGCCUUACAGGAUCUUCGGGUUUUGAUCUGCAUGUCGCCAUCUUCUUCAAAUUUCUUUCUUUCUGCCUUACGGGAUCUUCGGGUUUUGAUCUGCAUGUCACCAUCUUCUUUUGAGGCGACAUCCUCACUUUGGUAAUGGCUCGCGAAAGAGAUCCUGAUGCAGCUCGAGUUGCUGCCCUCUGUCAACGAUUGGGUAGAUUAUGUUCUGAACAACAAAUUGAAGAAUGGCAUGUUGAGCCCACACCUGAAGCUAUCGAGGAGUGCAAGUUAACUUUAAUUGGUAAAAUCCCUUCCAACCCUUCUUUCAACUUUCAAGCUUUUCAAUCGGUUUUGAAGAGGGCCUAGAGGACGGAGCAAGUUGAUAUUCUGCAGAGGGAAGCGGGAAUUUAUUUAGCAAAAUUCAAGUCUCAAUCAGAAAAACAGAGAAUUCUAGAAACUGGACCUUGGCAACUCUCGGGACAUCUCAUUAAUUUUAAACCUUGGGUUGCAAACACCCCUUUACACUGUUAAUUUCCCCACCUGCGCGUUCUGGGUCCAGGUGGUCGGUCCGCCCUUGGAAUGUUGUACAUAUGACAUGAUUCGCAAGGUAGUUAGUACUGUGGGUAAUGUUCUACAAGUGAAGUCUGAUUUUGUAACUGGUUCCACCCUGCGAGCAGGCCGUGCAAGAGUCGAGUUGGUCUUAUCAAAACCUUUGAAGGCGGGUAGAUUAAUCAAAUUCAAAAAUCAAACUCUUUGGCUGGACUUCAGGUAUAAAAGGUUACCACACUACUGUUACUCGUGUGGCAGAUUGGGACAUUAUACAGACUCCUGCCCGUCGGUACCUUUUGAGGAGAAUAUGCUUUCUGACUCUGGAAUAACUCCUUAUGGACCCUGGCUAAAAGCAGAAGUUCAGCAAUAUAGCCCUUAUUGGAAAUUCUAUUAUGAUCGAUCAGAUGUGGAUGCGGAUUGGGAGGAAACAAUACCUGAAACGCCUCCCACCAAUGCUCAACCUCUCCCCCUUCCACCACCAUCUGCCCCCAAAGUAAUUGUUCCUCCUCAGCAAGCUAUUUCUAUUAUAUCAAGGGAUUGCAAUGCUAUACCAGGCUUUGUUCCUUUGACUCACCACAAUAUGACUACUGCUCUAAUUCCUGCUGAAGAGAAACUCAAAGGAGUGCAAGUGCAGUCCUCAGUUCCUCAGGCCAAGAAAGGAAAAAGCAUUCGUCAGGGUAUUAAAAUUGGUCCUGCUAAGAAACCAAGACGCUAUACUCCGUAUGACAUACCUGGUGUUAAUACGACAGAUUAUGAUGAUUCUCUAUUGUUAGAUACGCCAAUCUUAGAGGCGGGUGAGGAUGGAUCGUGGGCGUCGGUGGCUGGCCCUAAACAGCCACCUGUUCAUAGAUGAAACUCAUCAGUUGGAACAGUCAGGGUUUGGGCAAUCCCCUAACAUUCCAAACUUUAAAAGCCCUUGUGGCUAAGGAAAAGCCCGACUUGUUAUUUUUUAUGGAAACGAAGAAUUGCGAUGAAGUUUUGUUUCACCCGAAACGUACCUUGCAUUUUUUGCACCUUCAGGUGUUUAGUCAUGUCGGUUUAGUAGGUGGUUUGGCCCUUUUUUGGAAUGAUGGCCUGCGGUUGAUAGAUAUCACCUCCACUCCUCAUCUUUUUGACUUUAUCUGCCAGAAAAUCUUGGAGGACAGAACCAUGAGGAUCACUUGUCUUCAUGCUCCUGCUGUUUUUCAAGCGCGUCAGCAUAUUUGGCAAACUUUGUGGCAAUUUAGCAGUUAUAAUGUCUUACCCUAGGUUUGCAUAGGUGAUUUUAACGAAAUUCUUAAUCGUUGGGAGAAAAUGGGAUCUAGGCCUGCUGACUCUUACCGUUUGUCUUCAUUUCGAGCUGUUCUCAAUGAUUGCUGCUUGUUGGAUCUUCCCACUCAUGGAUGUGCUUUCACAUGGACGAACAACUGAGACGGGGAUGCUUUGGUGAAGGAGCGUCUUGACAGGGCUUUAUGUAAUAUUGAAUGGCGUGUGACCUUCCCUAAUGCACAAGUGUUUGCUCUUCCUGCUGUAGGAUCUAAUCACAGUCCAAUUGUGAUAGAUACUAUAGCCUGUGCUGUUCGAAGAUAGAGGCGUUUUACCUUUGAAGCUUUUUGGAAUUAAGAUGCUAAGUGUAGAUCAGUUAUUGAUAACUCCUGGCACUCUGUUUCGGUGCAGGAUUCCCCUCUCUCGAUUAAGCUUCGAGUAGUUGCUGCUGCUUUGUCCCGUUGGAGUCGAAAGAAAUUCUCACAAAACAGGCAACAGGCAAUAGAAUUAGAGCAUAAGUUGGAAAUACUGACAAAUCAGCACGAUACUUCCGUGAAUCAAUCACGGGUCAGAGCUUUAAAAGAGGAGCUUCAAAGAGUUUGGCAGAGGGAAGAACAAUUUUGGGCGAUGCGUUCUCGAAUAAAUUGGUUAAAAUUGGGCGAUCGCAACACUAGAUUCUUUCAUGCUACCACAAUCCAAAGACGACAACGAAAUCAUAUUAAUUUGUUGUGUGAUGAAAGUCAGGUAUGGGUUAGGGAUCCUGGUAAGCUAAAGGAGAUGACUACCAAUUACUUUUCACAACUCUAUACCACUUCAGGACCUCGCUGUUAUGAACAGAUUUUACAGCAGUGUCCGCAGGUGGUCACUUCAGAUAUGAACGAAACUCUUAUAGCACAGGUUACACUUGAAGAAGUUAAAGAAGCUACAUUUCAAUUAGGCGUCUCCAAAGCCCCAGGUCCGAAUGGUUUGAACGGAUUAUUUUACCAAUCUCAUUGGGAUGUUCUUAAAGUGGAUAUAUUUCGGGCAGUCCAACAGUUCUUUAAUUCUGGCUCAUUACCUUCUGAGUUAAAUCGAACUGCUAUUGCUUUGAUUCCCAAAACCCCAAACCCAGAAAACUUAGAUCAAUAUCGCCCCAUUAGCUUGUGCAACUAUGCUUAUAAGAUUAUAUCUAAAGUGCUUGCUAACAAGUUAAAACCUAUGCUUCCAACCUUAAUUUCUGAGGAACAAUGUGCCUUUGUUGCUAGAAGACAAAUUCAAGACAAUGUUCUAUUAGUCCAGGAUGUUAUUCAUCAGCCUAAAUCAAGAAGAAGGAAGCGUCAUUUUCAAGCUGUUCUUAAAUUGGAUAUGCAGAAAGCGUAUGACCGUGUUGAAUGGGAUUUUCUCAAGGAUUAUUUACUCAGAUUAGGAUUCCAUUCCCACUGGGUCCGAUUAGUUAUGCAGUGCAUCUCAACAACAACAUCAUGCAUUAAAAUGAAUGGUGAGUUUUUGCAGAAUUUUCAUACCACUAGAGGGCUUCGAUAGGGAGAUCCUUUAUCCCCUUAUUUGUUUAUUCUCAUUGCCAAUCUAUUAUCCUUUCUAAUCCAGAAUGCUAUCAACAUGGGCUUUCUUAAGGGAAUUAAGUUGAAUCAAUGGUGUCCUACUUUAUCACAUCUAUUUUUUGCUGAUGAUGCAGUGUUUUUUCUUGAUGGUACAUUGAUGGAAUGCCAGAAUCUUUCUAAUCUAUUAAACUAGUAUUGUCAGGCCACAGGACAAACUAUUAAUCGCAAUAAAUCUGGUAUUUUCUUCAGCCCAUUUGUCCUAUCUCUCUACAGGAAAACUUGGCUCGUGAAUUAAGGGUACCUGUUUUACAGAGAUGUGGUAAGUAUUUAGGAAUACCUACUGAGUGGGGACGUUCUAAAAAGGAUAUGUUUUCUUGGCUUAUGAGCAGAAUUCAGUCAAAAUUGGAGUGAUGGAAGGAGAAACUCAUAUCUAAGGGUGGGAAGGAAAUUUUGCUUAAGUCUGUGAUUCAAGCUAUUCCCCAAUAUGCCAUGUCUGUGUUCAAAAUUCCUAUUUCAUUAUGCAAAGCUAUAGAACAGCGUAUGGCUAAAUUCUGGUGGAACAAUGAUACAAGCAAGUCUGGGAUUCAUUGGCUAAGUUGGAAGGUGUUGCAAAACAGAAAGGAAGUUGGACGUUUAGGAUUUAGAGAUUUGAUCAGUUUUAACAAAGCCAUGCUUGGUAAGCAAGCAUGGCGCCUUCUUCAACAACCUUUAUCUUUAUGGGGAAGUUUUUUAAAGGUUUAUAUUUUCAUUCCUAAUCUUUUUUUAAAGCUGUCAAGGGCUCUCGCCCAUCUUGGGGCUGGCAGAGUCUCUUGAUCGGAAGGGAAGCCAUUAUAACCAACGUACGUUGGUCAGUUGGGGAUGGAAAAUCAAUAAAGAUUCGAGAAGACAGAUGGCUACCCAUAGGCAUUCUAGGUGGACCUAAGGUCCAAGAAGAACCCUUACUAGUAGCUGAUCUUAUUGAUCGAUCUACCAACACCUGGAAGACAGACUUACUGCACAAAUUUUUUGACUUGCAGAUCAUACAACAAAUCACAGACAUUGAGAUUAGACCAACUUUCACCAAAGAUGAGCUCAUAUGGACAGCCACUAAUCAAGGCGCUUACACAGUUAAAUUUGCAUACCAUUUCAUCAAACAGACAGCAGCAAAUAUUUCACCUAUUGGUGCUUCUUCAUCAUAUCAAACUCCUACCUGGUUUUGGCGCAAUUUGUGGAAGAUGCCCACUGCUCCAAAGAUCCGUACCUUUCUUUGGUCCAUUUGCAGCAACUCCUUAGCGAUGAGAGACAACCUGCAUCGUCGACACAUUAUUGAUAGCCCUUGUUGCUCAUUGUGUAAACAAAAUAUUCCAGAAACUUUAGAACAUCUAUUCCUACUCUGUUCUUGGACUCAUAGAGUGUGGUCUCACCCCCAGAUCAGUGUUCUCAUCUCCCUCAGCAACAUCCAGCGUCUGAACUCAUGGAUCUUGUCCACUAUUAGGAACCAUAACAGAUUACCUCGACUGGCGUUGAUUUCUAAUGUGCUGUGGCAGAUCUGGCAAGCUCGGAAUGGAUUCCUUUUCCGAGGGUCUUCUCUUGAUCCGACCCAGGUUGCAGAGGCUGCACUGACUCAUACACAGGUGGAUCGAUUGUCUACUUCUUCCUGCCCACACAAGUAUAACUCGCUUAAAAAUAGAGGACAUCUCUGGCGUCCCCCAGAUCUAGGGGUUCUGAAGGUCAACAUUGAUGGCUCUUAUCAACCAGGCAGCAAUGAAGGCAAAAUAGCUUGCAUUUGGAGGGAUCACCAAGGAAAACUUACUGAUGGUUUCUCCAAAGGCGUAGAUGCGUCCUCCGCUCUGCAGGUUGAGAUCCAAGCUUUCUCCUUGGCUCUUCGGCAUCUUCUUGAUCAGGGCCUCCAGCACGCGAAGAUCAUCGUCGAAUAUGAUAAUCUCAUCCUUGUUGAUAUGCUGAACCGUCGAACGCCGCCGCCAUGGACGGAUCGAGCUCUCUUCUCUGAAGCGGCUUUCUUGUUUACCCUAUUUUCUCAUAUCUCGCUAGGGUUCUGUCGACAGGAGGCUAAUGUGGUAGCCGACUAGGUCUAUAAGGCCCAUAAUAGGACUUCCUCGACUCGUACAUGGGCUAUUUCUCCUCCUUUUCAACUUAUGAAUCUCCUUUGUGCGGAUGCAAUUGCCGCUGGUUGUAUGGGUUUCUCCUAUUAAUAUAAAAUGGUUUUUCUGACCCAAAAAAAAAAAAAAAAAAAGAUAAAGUUGGAGGUAGGUUAAGAGGUAUCAUUCAGAAGCAAUGCCUUGCCUUCCAGCCAAAUGACCCAGCAACUAAAGUGCUACUUGACAUUGGUCGGGAUGGCAGUCAGUCAUGGUUGGGCUCUAGGCCUGGCCCUCGGAGCACCUACCCACUUGUCCAAAUUGUACAAUUUUCACUAUACAUGUCCAGAAUGCCUGGCCCAACUUGAGAGGGAGCCGAACUGUCGAUUCAAUCCUCUCAGCCGGGUGUUUUCAAAUCAGAUUCUCAUAACCGUUAUGAGAAUAAUACGAACUCAGUUUUGUGAGACCUUUACUUAGGGCUUUCUAGUGAGACUUAGUGAAAGAAACAAGGUUUGUGAGGAUUUGUGUAUUGAGUCUUUGAAAUCACAUGAGAAAUUGAGCAAUUGUCACAAUACGAGACUCUUAAGUCGAUAAUGGAUUCUCUAAGGUCAACUCUCUUCAUAAAAUAAGUACUCGGAUUUGUGUAUUGAGUCUUUGGGAAUCACAUGAGAAGUGGAAAAAGCGUCAAAGGAGAAGUGGAAAAAGUGUCACCUUAAUGAUCCAUGUUAAGAAAAUGCAAGCCUACAUUAAGUAAAGUUUUGAAAUUUUAGGGAUUAAAUUAAAAUAGAUAAGUUCCGAGAUGACAUUUAUCAUCAAGAUAAAGUUCGGAUAUUAUACAUGUUAUUACCCCUCUGAUUUUCGACAUAUCCAUAUUUCCAUUAUCGUUACCUGCACAAGGCCUAUGGACUUCUUGUGUGGGUUGAAGGCCCCUGGGCCUCUUGGCAAGCCUACAAUUGAAAAAUGCAACAUGAUAUGCCCUUUUGUACAUGAUAUGCCCUUUUGCAGAUGGCAAUGGCUUGAAGGCUUGUCAUGUCACUCAAUCGGGAAAAAGCAGCAUCAAAUCACAUCGCAAUUAAUUGUUCCUAUUACUGAUUCUCUUCUCAAUUGCUAUGGAUAUAAUUUAGAGACCCGUUAGGGAUAAAAAUCACUCUCUUAAAAACUAAAGGCUAUAAGUUUACAACAGUAAUGAUUCUAUAUGAAUAGGAUGUUCUUUAGAUAUUUAUGCAAAAAGCUAAAUAGGAAAUAAAGUGCGGGUAAUUACACUAGUGAGGGUCAGAUGCAACAUCAGGUCUUGCAUUUUUCUUGUGCAAUUAACAUCACAUAUUUAUGUGACGGAGCCAUAUGGAAAUUGGGGAAGGAGGAUAUCCCGAGUGGUGGACAUAUAAGUACCAAAACUUACAAAAAGUAUGCUUAAAUGUCACAUUUAAAAAAAAAUGGACAUUUAAGUGCCAAUUUCAAUAAGGCUUGUCGAAAAUCCGAUGUAGCGUUAUUUUUAAUAAUAAAACCAGUCUACAUGGUUGCCAGAAAUCCGAUGUAACUCACCGUUAGCACUUGAGUGUUCUUCUCUUCUCCGAUUUGGACACUCAAAUGUAUCGUUUAAAAGUUUUGACACUUAUGCAUCAAGUUUUGGCACUUAGGAUGUGACAUCUUGAAAUUUCAUUCUGCUUUCAAUUGAAUAAAUUGGGCUUUUCAUCGACGCACCUAUAGUGUUGUUCUUAGAUUUUAUCAAUCUUGAGAUAACUAAACAAUCUGGGAAAGUCAUUAAGAGAUUUUAAUGUAAUAGACUUGAGGAUUCGACCAGCAAUCGGCUACUCAACCGUGCGCAUUUGCAAAUAUCAUUACAGCAUAGUUAAAAAUCACUUUGAGAUCAGAGAUGGUUAGUUCGGCUGAAAUGUGUGGCUAAACGUGGGUGAUUACACUAAAUUGCAAAAUUCUCGUCGAUCGGCAUUUGACUGAUUUUUCUGUGGUUUUGGUACCUAGUGUCCAUAUUUGAAUCAUCGAGAUUUUCACAACCACUGAAAGUCGUCAAUGUAUCGAAGAGAUUCAUUAUGGCUCGAAAAAAAUCGACCAUGGGUCAUUUGCACUAAAAAUUUCUAAAAGCCACGCGGUCACCUAGAUCACGCUAAAAUCGCGCCAGACUGAAAUUAACCGCGAAUUUGAAUCCAAUUUUAGAAAUUGAAAGUUUUGACAUGUCACGAGUCAUUUUAGGAACGCCAACUCAGUCUCCGAAGAUUUUUCUGCAAACCGAGUUUUUGGCGAAAAAAGUCGUUAUAGGGCCGUUUUCGACCGGAAAAAUCAAAUGACCAUUUUUUAUCGCGAAAUUGGGAUGCAAGUGAAGGAAAAAUGCCAAUUUGAUCAAAUACUCAACAGUUGAAUUUUUAAGAGCCGAGUUAAGUCGGUUCGAGGAGGAUUUGAGGAGAAAUUGAAGGAAUUGCACCAAAAUUCGUGUGCCCCCAUGGCCAUGACUUGUAGACCAUCUUAAAGUCUUCUAGAAAUGGCAAUAAGGUCUGAAAAAUUGCUAUGGAUACCAGCUGUGGAGGUGGGCCAAGCAAGGGGACAAGAAGAUGAGGAAUAGGCCAUUGGUGGCCCCCUCCAUGCAAACCGGUCCCCCUCUCCCUCCUUCAGCCGUCGAAGCCCCCUUCUCCCUCCAUUCUAGCCACCAAAACCUCCAAGCGAGGCCAAAAGAUCAAACAAGUAAGCCCCCUCGCCAUCGCAGCCACCCGUUGGAUGCCACUCGCACCACCGUCACGCCCUAGAGCCGUUCGUUGUCCACUUGCUUGCGCGCUAGAGCAAUGCCUCCCAAGCCGUUGUUUCGCCUCAAUCAUGAGCCCAAGACAUCCUUGGAGCCAAUCGCAAGUUGCCCCUGCCGCUUGAGCCAUCGUGGACCGCCGUUCGGCCGCUGCAUGCCGUCCGCUUGCUAUCGCCAAGCCAUUCGCCUUGCCUUCGCCGAUUUCCGCCUCAACUAGCCGACCAACCCUCCUCUCUCGGCAAAGAUCAGUUCAGCAACAGAAGCCGAAACUAGCGGAUCUCCAGUCCACUGUUCGGGCCAUUUUUGGGCCGUUCCCAAUCCCGUUUAGCGGUCCCACUUUGGAGAUUACCGAGCCUCGCUGCGUCCCCGUCGUUUUGAUCCGAGCAAAUGGCUUAACAAGUGAAUUUAACUCACUAAUUCUUGCUUAGUAAGUUAAUGGCAUUUAAGAGUUGAUUAGUUUAGACUAAGUAUAGGUUAAGUGGAUAGUUAGAUUAGAUUAGCAAUUUAAUUAAUCGUUAUUGCAUGUUAGGUGGUUAGAGUAGUGUAAUUAGAGCCUAAACAAGCUCUAAUAUUUAUAUAGAGUGGUUUAGAAAUUUUUUGGGCCCAUUUUGGCUUUUAAUUAGGUUUUUCCAACCUAAGUUGCUAUUUUUGUAUUUAAUAAUUAAUUUCCGUAAUUAUUUAUUUAUUUAUUUAUUUUUCAAAAAUUAGACCGGGAUAGUCGGUGACCAAAAUUUAGUGCUGAUUGCAGUGGUGCAAUCUGUUUAUUUAAUUGACUAUUAUUUUGUGCAAAUUGAGGGUGAUUUAUGAUUUUGUGUAUUUAUCCCAAAAUCAUUAAUUUCGGUAAUGAAUUGAAAAAUCACCAGGCAUCGGUUCACAGUGCCAAAAAUGGAUCUGUGGACUGUUGAAAUUAGUGGGAUUUUCAAAGGUGAAAAUAUUGUAUUUUGGCUAAGGCCGACCGUGUACUCACACAUGAGUAUUUUUAUCAAGUAUGAUAAAAUGGUGAAUCUGUUAGAUAAUCGAGAUGAUAUACUAUAUCAAUCUACGGGCUCUGAUAUGUUAGUUUAGAUGGAGAGCAGUAUACCUUAUCAACUUAGAGUGAGCAAUAUUACUAUCAGCUUAGAAUGAGCAUUAUUAGUAUACUAUAUCAGCUUACGGGCUUGAUGUGUCAACUUAGAUAGAGAGCGGUAUACUAUUUAUCGGCUUAAUGCGAGCUAUACUAUCUAUUUAUCAGUUUAGAGGGAGCAGUCCUAAUAUGAUCGGAUCUCAUAGAUAGUAUUGAUUUGGCCAACUAAGGGAAGGUCGUGAUGACAUGAAAUCGACUGAGUUGAUUGUCCGAAAACUUGAUCUAAUUGAUUGAAUUGUUUGAGUAAAAUGAUUGGAGGAUUAUUCAAAUUGUAUUAACUUGCAAGAAGAGACUGAGGCCAAGAUAAGUCUUCUGACUCAUGUUUGUGCUUAGGCAGCCCUCAGGGCGUAUUUUCUUCCUAGUCAGGUCUUCAGGGGUUGAACUCACUGAGACGUCGUCUUACCCCGUGUGGGAUAACAUUUCAAGUCUUUAGAUGGUAGCUCUUCCUAAGAUUUUUAGUCGACCAAAGAAAGUUACAGAACAGACAUCUUACAUUUCGUUGCAUGGGUGCCCUAGGGGCUGGACUUAUGAGUUGGUAAGGUCCAUAGUCUUGGUCAAUGCGGGUCUCACCCACAAGGUGCCCCACCGAUACAAAUCAUGGUACCACCAAGCUUAGAAUGGCCAAAGAGAGGGUCCUAUAUCGGAAUCUGAGAUACCUCUAUAUGUACUAGAGGUGGCUUUUGGGAAGGGUACUACUACAAAUCCCUCCGGAGGUUCGGUAGUAGACGCGAUAGACCCGGAUCUUGAAGAACCAGAGUCCCCAAUAUAUUCUGCAGAAGGCUUCAAUUGAAGUGUGGAUGAUGAUGAAGAGGAGGACAAUGAUCCGUAGUUUUGUGAAAUCCCCCCUCUUCUGUAGAACUUAUAUAUAUAUAUAUAUAUAUAUAUAUAUAUAUAUAUAUAUAUAUAUAAGUGUGAUGUUAGUUUUCAAAAUUAUGGCCUUACUUUCCUAUCCCAUAUUGUUGUUGUCUGGGGAUUAUUUAAUUGCUUCCGCAUGUGCAUUAAAAAGAAUGGGUCAGCAAUGCGUCCUAGGAUGUUGCUAUUUAAUCAACCGCAGAGGGAUGAGCACGCACUCGGAGGAUCGGGGCGUGACAUAGGGUGUUAUUCUUCUUAGAAAUUUGGGUCUCUGCUAUUUUUAAAGACCUUAUUAAUGAGUGCCUUAGAAGACUUUGUUAAUUAACCAAUUAAAGAGAUUUUACAAUUUUUAGUACACAGACUAUUUUCAUGUUAUGCACAACUAAUAUUUUGAAUUUUGAAUUAUUCUAGAUUAAGUGUACAAAACAAGAUAUUUGGAGGCACAACGGUCCUAAUCCUGGCCUUUGUAGAUCCAAGUUCAAGCGUCAAGGACAAGGCAUGGGCACGUGGGUCCCAGCCUAGCUUUAAAGGACCUGGGUUCAAGCAUGGACAUCGAAGUUCGGGGCCUACCUCGAUGGACCCAGCAUGAGCACCAGGUCUUGAGCAUUGUCCUCAAUGAACCCAACUCAAGUGCAGAGGAUUCGAGCAUGAGCACUAGGAACUCAGGCACAUACUUUGUACACCUGGGCCUAGGCAUAGGGGAUCCAAGCACAAUUACUGAGGCCCUACACUUGGCCUUUGUGGACCCAAGCCAAGGUGUCGAGGGAUCAAAUGAGGGCAUUAGGGCCUCGAGCUUGGCCUCAAUGGACCCAGGCACAGGCACCAAGAAGGAUCUUGGAUAUUGCGACCUAAGAAUGAGCAUUAGAGUUCUCGUGUCUAGGCACAGAGUUUCUAGUCAAAGCACCAAUACCUAUUGAUAUUUUAAAAAAUAAUUUUUGAUUCAUUAAAAAGGAAAUUAUUCAUACAUUUUCUGUUGACUUAUUUUCUAAUGCAAUCCAAAUGCCAAAAAAUGAGAAAAAUAUUUUUCGCAAAACAAAUGUAGCCUAAGUUUGCUCCAUAGCCCAUGAAGACUAAGUAAUUCUCCAAACUUGCUUGCCCAACAUAGCUCUAUUAAAGGUGAUUAAGCCCAUGAAACCCAAGCCUCCUUUGUCAUUCCUUGUUUUGAAUAAAUUCCUUUGCCUCUAAUGUUUCCAACUUUUGACUCCCUGUUUUUCCACUAAAAAGUGGCAAUUUUUUGCUCUACAGCACGACAUACAGAUAAGGGAAUUAAAGAUUGACAUUACAUAGUAAGGUAAAAUUUGAAUCACCUUUAGUCAGACUUGUUUCCUUGCCUUUGUAUUUCCACCCUUCCAAUUUAAUAUUCACCCUAACAAGGAUUCAAGUAAAUUUGUUUCUUUUAUGCUCCUUAAUCUGAGGGUAUUCCCGACUUUUUCUUUGUGUUGCCAAUCCGGAACACGCAAUUCAUUGGCCAUGUUUUCAUCUUAAUCUCUCAUGCCAUCCUAAACUGAAGAAAAUUCCCAACUUAACCCUUUUCUGCAAUUUGGGCACUUUCUUUUACUUAAUCAGGUUUUUAUUGAACAUAUGAGUCUUGAUUUUUCUCUUGGUUAUGGUAGAGUUAUCUCUCGCGACAUGCUCGAGUCUUCCUUCAUAUCUUCCUCUUCAUGUCUUUCCGUUGAAAAAUUUGAAUUACCCUCUCCGACUAUCCUUGCUUUCAUCCUCCUUAAACUCUAUUCUCGCAACUGGAAUUUCAAGUGAAACGCCUUCUUUCUUCAUCAUCCAUUGAACUUCUUCUCUAGUUUUUUUCUCCUGGUUACUUGUACUUCUGGCCGAUUACCAUGCUUUACUUCCGAAGUUUCUCCGUUGCAUGUGGUCGAUCCUUGACAUGCAACCCAUGAAAGCUUGUGCUCUGACCUGGGUGCCUGUCAAUUAAUCUAUAUCAGUAACUUCUCUUUUCAUAAUGGCUACGGAUGAGAAAGAUAAUUCAUUGCGCAUUGCUUCACUGUGUCACUAUCUGGGACAUCUGUGCUCGAAACAAGAAUUGGAGGUCUGGGAAGAUGUACAUGCAACGGACAACAUUAAAGAGUGUUGACUCAUCCUUGUGGGUAAUAUUUUCACAAACCCUACUGUCAAUUUACCUGCUUUUCAAAUCGCGAUGAAGAAAGCGUGGCGUGUUGAACAUGUGGAAAUAUCUCUUCGCGAUGGUGGCAUCUACAUCAUCAAAUUUCGAUAUGAAAUAGAAAAACGACGUAUAUUAGAUGGAAGCCCUUGGUUAUUCUCUGGUCAUCUAGUCAAUUUACGCCCAUGGCAACCAAACACUCCUUUACACUGCUAUGAUUUCUCCAAGUGUCCAUUCUGGGUUCAUGUAAUAGGAUUACCUCUGGAAUGGAAUACUCCUCCACUUCUAAGGCGAGUGGUACAACAGAUGGGAAGAGUGCUGGGCGUUAAAUCUGAUACUUCUGGGAGGGUUCGCAUCGAAAUGGACUUGCAAACACCUUUAAAGACAGGCAAGCUCAUUAAUAUUGAAGGAAAACCCCUAUGGCUUGAUUUUCGGUAUGAGAGACUCUCCCAUUAUUGUUUCUCUUGUGGGAAACUAGGACAUUAUGCAGCAUCAUGUAAAGAUUACCCUUAUGAGGAAGCUCAAUUUGAGGGUCGAGAAACAAUGGUCUAUGGCCCGUGGCUGAGGGCAGAGGUCUGACAGCAUAGCCCCUAUUGGGACGCCUUUUACAAUCCUAUAUCUCCUAUCGAGCCCAUGGAAGAGACCAUACCUGAAACCCCUCCAACUAUGCCCCUCCCCCUCCCAGCUUUACCUCCAAUAGAACCCAUUCCAGAGACCCCUGUUUCCACCCCUGUUAUUCCAUCUGGACCUUCCACUAAGAUGGAUACUCUCAAUUCAGUCUCCAGAACCACAAACUUGGUACCUACAAAUGCCAAGUUAAAGGGUAUUCAAAGUUCUUACAUAGAUAAUCCUUAACAGAAGAAACAAAAGACCCCUAGAACACAGAUAGCAGUGGGAUCAAGCAAGAAACUAAGCGAUACUCCCCUUAUGAGUUUCGAUCUAAUUAUACUUCUGAGUUGGAUGAAACUCAACUGUUGGACACCCCUGUGUUUGAGGCUGAUGAUCACUCUCAUUGGGCUUUGGCAGCUGGCCCUCAACAGCCUCCACGUUCCAAAUGAAAAUAUUAAGUUGGAAUUGUCAGGGGUUGGGCAAUCCCUUGACAAUUCAAGCCCUAAAAGCUUUGUUAGCCUUUGAAAAGCCCGACUUAGUUUUCUUAAUGGAAACAAAGAAUGUAGGAUCAGUUUUGAAGAACUUACAACAUCGUUUUCACUUCUCUCACUCUUUUUUGAGGGAUCCAGUAGGUUUAUCUGGAGGUCUUGCAGUGUUUUGGACUAACCUUUUCAAUGUUACUGUUAUUACUUCGGGGUAGCAUUUUGUAGAUAUGAUAGUUCUGGAUCCUCAGACAGCUGCUUCGAUGCAUGUAACUUGCCUGCACGCCCCUGCAAUAUACCACGCUCGGAAUGAUUUUUGGGAUACAAUCAGGACAAUCCACGCAGCAAAUCACUUACAUUGGAUGUGUAUUGGGGACUUCAAUGACUUCCUAUCCCCUUGGGAGAAAGUAGGCAGAAGACCAGCUAUUUAUUCUAGAAUGACAUCUUUUCGGAAAUUAAUCAAUGACUGCGCUUUAAUAGAAUUGGACAGUAAAGGCUGUGAAUUUACCUGGUCUAAUAAUAGAGAAGGGGAUGAUUUGGUGAAGGAGAAGUUAGAUCAUGUCUUCUGCUCCUUGGAUUGGAGUUUAUUACAUCCUACUGCAGCAGUGUUUGCUCUUCCAUUGAUUGGCUCGGAUCACUGCCCACUUAUGCUGCACACUCAUUAUCAAUCUGUCAAGCCACAAAAGACCUUCCAUUACGAAGCUUUCUGGAGUCAACAUUACGAAUGUAAAGAGGUGAUUCAAUUAGCAUGGGAGAGUAGUCAUACCUACUUAACCUCAAAGUUGCCGGCAGUCUCUCUCAAGCUAGCUAGUUGGAGUAGGUCUCGGUUUAGUAAUGCCAGACAGCGCAUUCUUCAACUACAACAACAUCUACGGACCAUUACUAACAGGAAAUCUUAUCAGCAGGGAGAUAAAGAGUUAGCCACUUCAAUUCGAACUGAAAUUCAACAACUGUGGAAUCAAGAGGAACAGUUCUGGGCGAUGCGAUCACGUCUCAACUAGUUGACAUGGGGUGACAAAAAUUCAAAGUUUUUCCAUGCUUGUACAGUGCAAAGAAGACAAAGAAACAGAAUUUGUAUGCUUAAAGACGAAGACCAGAACUUGAUACGAGAGCCAGAACAGCUCAAAGACAUGACUAUGGGUUUCUUUUCUCAACUAUAUCAAUCAGUUGGAAACCGCGACUUUCACCCAUUUCUAGAGCAAUGUCCAGCAAUAGUUACAUCACAAAUGAAUGAUCAUCUAAUGAGUACGGUAACAGAAGAGGAGGUAUAACACGCUACCUUUCAGUUGGGUGCUUCCAAGGCUCCUAGACCAGAUGGCCUCAAUGGUCUUUUCUACAUGCAUCACUGGAGUAUCAUCAAAACGACAAUUGUCAAAACUGUGCAAGAUUUUUUUCAAUCAAGUUACAUGCAUCCUAACUUAAACAAAACGAUUCUGACCCUGGUUCCUAAAGUACAUCAUCCAGAAAGCAUCGACCAAUAUCGUCCUAUUAGUCUUUGUAACUUUGCAUACAAGAUUAUCUCUAAAGUUAUGGCUAACAGACUGAAGUUGUGGCUACCCAGAUUGAUCAUUCCCGAACAAGCAGCAUUUGUAAGUGGCUAACAGAUUCAAGAUAAUAUCAUGGUCGUUCAAGAAGUACUCCACCAGUUUAAAGUUCGAUCAAGAACAAAAAGAUUCAAUCUUAUUUUGAAAACAGAUAUGCAGAAGGCCUAUGAUAGGGUUGAAUGGGACUUUCUAGCAGCUUAUUUAAAGCAGUUGGGCUUUACAAAUAGAUGGGUAACAAUGGUCAUGGCUUGUAUCACUACGGCUUCUUUUAGUAUUCGUUUCAAUGGAGAACAGCUGCCAUAUUUUAAACCUACUAAAGGAAUCCGUCAAGGUGACCCCCUAUCCCCUUAUAUUUUCAUUUUACUUGACAAUGCUUUGUCAACAGUUAUAAAGCAAGCAGUGAGUAUGGGUCACUUACAGGGGCUCCAAUUUAAUCAAGCAUGUCCUAAGCUAUCUCAUUUAUUUUUUGCUGAUAAUUUAGUAUUUUUCCUCAAAGCCACAAUCUCUAAAUGCCAAAAUCUUGCUAAUCUACUAAACCAGUAUUGCCAAGCAACCGGACAGCUUAUCAAUAGGAAUAAAUCAGGGCUAUUUUUCAGCAAGAACUGUCCUAUGACUCUAUAGAAUACUUUAGCAAGAGAACUGAGAAUACCUAUGGUGAGCAGAUAUGGCAAGUAUCUGGGCAUCCCUUCUGACUGGGGACGUUCAAAACGUGAGAUGUUCUCCUGGAUCCUAGCAAAAAUUAAUGCAAAAUUAGCUGGUUGGAAGAAACAAUUCUUAUCAAAAGGCGGCAAGGAGAUUUUAUUGAAAGCAGUGAUUCAGGCAUUACCUCAGUAUGCUAUGUCCAUCUUUAAGAUCCCCCUAUCACUCUGUAGAUUAAUAGAAAAGAAGAUCUCAGCAUUCUGGUGGAGCAAAAACAAUAGUGAAUCAGGUAUUCAUUGGACGAAAUGGUCAGAAUUAAAGCACUCGAAACAAUGGGGGGUAUGGGUUUUAGAGAUCUAAUAAAUUUCAAUCUAGCGAUGCUUGGUAAGCAAGCUUGGCGUCUUUUCCAGCAACCUAAUGCAAUAUGGAGUCAACUUUUCAAGGGCCUAUACUUUAGACAGUCUUCUUUUCAAAAUGCAACCUCAGGCUAUAGACCUUCAUGGGGGUGGCAGAGUAUGUUAAAGGGUCGAGAUGCUAUUCUCCUUAAACUUCGGUGGCUAGUGGGGGAUGGAUCCAAGAUUAACAUUAGAGCACUUGGCUUACAAUUGGCAAAUUAGGAGGUCUAGCAGAGGAGGGGGAACCCACUAUAGUUGCUGAUAUAUUAGAUUCAUCUACUGCAACUUGGAAGAAGGAGCUUAUUUCUAACUUUUUUAAUGCACAAGUAAGUGAAGGGAUCCUAACCACCCCUAUAAACCCUUCACUUCGUACCAAUCAAUUAGUCUGGACUGCCACUUCCUCAGGUGUAUUCAUAGUCAAAAGCUACUAUUACUAUCUGUCUUCGCACCAACAAAACCCUUCCCCUAUUGCUUCCUCUUCUUAUCAGAAUCCUGUUCAAUUGUGGAAAAAGAUAUGACAUAUGGAAACAGCUCCUAAGGUCCGUGUUUUCCUAUGGUUAGCCUGUAAAAACGCCCUUACGACAAAAGCAAACCUAUACCACAAACAUAUCUCCCCCAACCCUUACUGCACCCUAUGUUAUCGAAAUAUUCUAGAGACCAUUGAACAUAUGUUCUUCUAUUGCAAUUGGACUUGUGAUAUAUGGACUCAUGCCAAGAUCAAGAUCCCAAUCUCACUUACCUCUGUGCGUCAUCUAGAUGAGUGGGUUGCGACCAGAGCCACUCAUUCUCGAUCCUCCCCAACCUUUGAAGUGCUUGCCAAUCUGCUGUGGGAGAUAUGGCGUCAGCGUAAUAACGCAAUCUUCAAGCAACAAACCCCAGAUCCUAUCCAAGCGGUGGAGAAUGCCCUAGCCCAGUGAAGGAUAUUCCAGAUUCCACAGCCCUCUGCACCUCGUUUUCAAAAAUCAAACGUCAGUCCCGAUCGACAAUGGAAACCCCCCGAAAAAGGUACUAUAAAAUGCAAUAUUGAUGGGGCUUUUGUACCAGGAAACGAGCAAGGUGCGGUAGCUUGUAUUUACAGAAAUUUUAAUGGAGCACUUACUGAUAUGUUUACGAGAAGCGUUCCAGCCCAAUCGGCGUUUCAAGCUGAGAUCUACGCCCUUAUUCUGGCUCUCCAACACCUGAUCAAGCAAGGCCUUCAUCUCCACAACGUCUUGCUUGAAUCGGACUGCUUAUUACUGGUAGAAGUCCUUCGGCAGAAGCAACAGCCGCCAUGGAAGGAACUUCACCUCUUCGUGGUUCUUCAUGAUAUGUUUUCUCAAUGCCCUAAUGUCUCUAUCCAGCAUGUUUGCCGAGAAGCCAAUCUAGCCGCUGAUUGGGCUGCCAAAGCCCACAGGGUUCACGGCCCGGUUUGUCACUGGCUUGUUUUCCCUCCUCCUCUUUUCCAGGAUAUUGUAUUAAGCGACGUGUUACUAGCAGGCUGUACUUCUCUUUUAAUAUAAUAUAUCAGUAGUUUCGAUCAAAAAAAAAAACUGACCCAUAGCAUAACAAUAAUAGUUGAAGACAGCACCUGCAUUUUGACAUUCACUGACAUUUUCGUCAAGAAAAAAAAAAGAUGGAAUCAAUAGCAAACCACAAAUGAGCUCGUUUUAUUCGUUUACAGCGGCGCAGACGAAAGAAAAGAGAUCACGUCACACGUGGAAGGGCAGAACAGCCUUAAACCCCUCUAAUAUUUAUCCCUUCGCAGUUGCUUUGUUCCUAACGGCCGUGGCUUCAAAACUUGAAUUGUUAUGACCUCAUCAAUUGUUUUAUAUACAAGUUAUAUAUACGUGCACAUCUAACUAGUACAUAAUAUAUAGUGCAUGUGCACUUCACACAUCUUAGGAAAUUGUUUUUCAACGGUUUGGCGUGAUGAACUCCUUGUAGAAUGGUAGAUUUUUUCUGACCUCUCAUUAUUUUCCAAUAAGUGAGUUACUGUAGGAGGCAUCACUUCCGUACCCUCGAAAGGGUAGUACAAAAACGAAAGAAGUUAACAGUCUUACCUUUUGUUUGGAUGCGACAGAUGGGUAAGAAAAGAAAAGAUGGAGAAGAACUGGGAGAAGAAUUGGGGAGUUUAUCUUGUUCGGAAAAGCAAUUGAGAGUUGGGUGAAGAAUGGUAAGGCGCGACUAAUGUGGUUUUCUCUCCUCCUCCUCCUCCUCCUCAUCCAAUCUCAGUAGGGCGACCGAACCGGCAGUGAUUAUGCUCCAUCAGAAUCCGGUCGUGUCCGAUGUACUAGCUACAGCCGUGUCUGGCGGCGUCGCUCUCACGGUUCUCCGGUCUUUUGAAGAAACAGCUAAGCGAGGCGUCUUUGACCAGGUUCGAACAGGAUUACUCCUUACUUCCUUUGCUUGUUCCAUAAAUUUCCUGCUGGCGAUGCUGUCUCGGGAUGCUCGGCUGUUUCGUUUUACUCAUUAGACCAAAUUUUAUUCGCAUCUCAAAUAACUCGUGUUGACCAGUUGAUUUGGGGCGGUGGAGAUUACCCAUCCAAAUCAUAUCAACCAAUCGCAAACUCGAGCAGAGCGACCUGAACUUGACCUGUCCCCCGGGCUUGCGGAGUGUAUGGACCUGAAAUAUUGCUGACUGUCCAAACUCGUGCCCCUAAAUUAUAGAAAAAAAUUUGCAUCUCAAAGCAGUCCUUGUAAACAGAGUAGUUCUAGACCUGAUUGCUGUUUUCAAGCCGUUUGUUAUAUUUAAAUGUCUUUGUUUUUGUCCCUCGUUCAGAAACUUAACAGGAAGCUUGUGCAUGUGAGCUUUGGAUUAGUUUUCAUGCUUUGCUGGCCACUGUUCAGGUAAUCUUAAGACUACACCACUUUUUUUCUUUUUCUAAAUUCCUAAUGGAUUAUUAGUUUGGCGAGGCGGCUAUUGCUGAUAAAUUGCAGUUCUGGGCAUCGAGGUGCGCUAUUAGCUGCUUUGAUUCUAGGGGUUAAUAUCAUACGCAUGCUUCUUCUGGGAUCUGGCAUUUGGAAAGAUGAGGCGACGGUGAAGUCCAUGACCAGAUUUGGGGACCGCAGGUUCGUAACUCGAGUUAUUUGGUAUCCGCAUUGCAUUGACGACAGAGGUGAAUCAGGUUUGAUAGGAUUACAUCGCUUGUAUUUAAAUAAUCGCAGUACUGAUCUCCUAAACUCGUUAUUCGAUUGGUGAUCUACUCUAUCAAGCAAUUUGAUUUAGUUAAGAUUUUCAGGGAACUUCUUGAAGGGCCGCUAUUCUAUGUUCUCACAAUUACAUUUGCUUGCGCGUAUUAUUGGAGGACUUCGCCAAUCGCAAUUGCAGCAAUGUGCAACCUCUGCGCUGGAGAUGGUGCACUAAUCUAACUCCCCAUUAUUUCUUGCUUGUUAUACUGGCAUAGGUUCAAUGACUAGUAAGUGCAAAAUAAAGGGAGAUAUUGAGGACUUCUUCAAUGUCAUGGGCCUAAAUGUUGAGAAAUAAUAUUACAGUGCUUAAUGCCACAAAUGAUAAUGGGGUGAAGUCAUCUCCUUAAUUCAAUAGAAUAAAUGAUGUUAUCUUCAGUCAAGGCUUAAAAUGAUACAGAGAUAUCAAACUGCGUGACGAUAGAUGUGGUCAUCAGUUCAAAGGAAUCACAUAAUUUUCCCAUAUAUCCAAAAAUUAAAGAGGGCGGGCUUAAGCAUAGACACCUGGUUUUGCCUGAUUACCGGUUUUGCAGACAUCAUCGGAAGGCGGCUUGGC
rnacentral:lncRNA from 1 species